AUCAUUCCCCAAGGCAUCUCUACCUUCCCUGGAAAUACCCUUGUUUUCCAAAUUCAGAAACGCUAGUGAAAGUCUUAAAAGGUGACCUUCUCACACAGGUAGAGUAAAUUAACAAGGUACUGCCCCCUCCCCCAAAGACUCCGCCCCAUUUGAGUGAGUAGGAGGUCACGUUCGUUUCCCUACUCUAUCACUUCAAAACUUAUCACAAAACUGAGAGGCUGAAAACGGCACACAUUUAUCAUCUCACAGUUGCUGUGGGUCGAGAAUUUGGACACAACUUAGCUGGGUCCUCUGGCUCAGGGUCUUUCUCAAGGCGUAGGGCUUGGAGGUGCACUCAGCUCAAAGUUCAACUAAGGGGGGGAUUGGUUUUGCACAUGUUGUUGGAUUAAGGGCCUCAGUUUCUCACGGGCUGUUGCCCAGAGGCUGUCCUUUUGGCCACACUGGUCUCUCAGUCAUGUAGCUCACAACAUGGCAGCCGACUUCGUCAGAGUGGGUGAGUGAGAGAGGAUGAGACAGUGCUAGCAAGACGGAAGCACAGCCUCUGUCACCUAAUCUUGGACAGGACAUCCCAUCACUUUUGUGGUAUUCUUUUUUUAUCUUUUCAUGUUUUUUCAGUUUUUUAAAAUUUUUUUAUUCCUCCUUUUUAUUUUAGUUAUUACUGGCUUAUUUUAUUUGCUGUGUUCUGUUCACUAGAAGCAAGCCAGUAGGUCCAGCACACAUUCAGGGAGAGAGGAUUGCACAGGGGUGUGAACACCAGGAAGCCGGGAUCAUGGGAGUCACUGGCUGCUUCCUACACCCACCAGCUCCCUGAGUGAAGGAGAGUCUCUGGGCCCAGCAGAGACUUUCAUUGCACACUCCACCCCAGUUUUACUAUUUCCCUCCCCUUUGGACCUGUCCUGUAGAUAGGCUAACCUGGAGUUUCUGGAAGCAGUCAUGGGAAAAAUUCUGUCCUCUCACCAGUAUUAAGACUUCUUCCUUUUUCUUAAAAGAACAAAAAACAUAGUUUUUCAUAUUUCAAAAGUAAUACAAGCUCAUUGUGAAAUUACAACAAUCCCAAAAUGUAAAAGCUAUAAAUAAAAGUCCCCUAGCAUUUCUCCCAUAUCCCAGAGAUAACCAGUGUUAAUCCUGCAAGUCUCUCCCUUUUUCCAAUACAUGUGCUAAUAUCAUAUUCUUAUUAAUUUAUCAAAAAGGUAUGAAACUCUUCUGUAGGUUUUUGUUUUGUUUGUGUUGCUUUAUUUGUAGUAGCUUGGCCAUCUUUCAAUAUCAGCACAUGUAGAUCGACCUCAUUCUAUUCCUGUGCACAUAUAUCAUAAUUUACCUAAACACCUCCCUGUUGGUGGUGGCGUAGCUUUAAAAACAAUUCUUACCUAUUACACUCAUUAUAAACAUUGCUGCAAUGUGUAUAUGUGCUGCGGGGGAAGGGUGUAUUUGCACAUUUGCAUACUUCAGCAGAACAGAUUUCUUGAAGUGGAAUGCCGAAUAAAAGUGUAUCACAAGUACAUCCCAAGGUGCUCUCCAGAAAGGUUGUACCAAUUUCAACUUUUCCAGAGCUGACCGUGAGCAUCUUUCAGAGUAAAGUCCCUGGAGGAAUUGGUCUGUUGCCUUAUGAGGGGACCCAAGAUCCUGUUAAUUGUGGGAACAUCUAAAAGCAGUAGAGAAAACUUAUCAAAGGUCAUGGAUGAAAACAAAAAACCUCAGAUCUAUUCUCAGCUGAUAGCCUAGUCCUGAUUCUGCUUUGUGGCUCUGUGCUAGUACUUGACCAGGGAAUGCAGCUGUGUGGGCCUCACCCACAGCUCAGCCCACACGACAAGCAGGGUGACACUGAGAUGCUCCCAGAAAACGUAGUUCCUCAUCCUGGGCAAGACAUUCACAUGACUGAUGAGUCUAGAAUAGACCCACUGAUUCUCCCAUCUGGGGCUUUGCAGAGGUCAGUCGGUGACAAGUUCCUUCCCCAGCAGGUCGAGAGGACCCUGCAGGGCCUCUGGGUUGGGAAGUUUCCUUGCUGGAGCCUUUCUGACCCAGCAAUCUGAGCUGGGGUGGAAGGAACUGAGGAAUUCAAAAGCCACAAACCCCUAUAAACAUCUGACACCCAAAGUCAGACCAUUUUGUGCACAAAUUCAGGCUGUAUUUGUCCCAGUUGCACGACUACACUCAUGAUCUCCCAUGAAAAGGAAGCAGCACUCUGGUGGUGAUGACACACACAGAUUCUUGUGGAGAAAUAGGAGGCUGCCAUUUGUCUCAGAGGAGAAUUGUCAUGGUGGAGCCAGAGAAGAAAGACAACAAAUUUUUGGCUUUUAAAUUCAAAAGCAAUGGUCCUAAGUAACACUGAAAGAUAGGGUGGAGGGAUGGAGAAUGUUUGCAGCGGUGGUCUCCUCUGCUCUCCACCGUCCUCCCCCUUCCAAACCCUCUCCCCUGCUACCACUCUCCCCACCCCUGAAAAGAUAAAAAAGGGAGAGAGACCAGUUGGAUGGGUACCGAUAAGAGAGACUCUGAAGGCCAAGUAACCCAGAAGUAGCUAGUUUCAAAAAGGAGGGAAUGACAGAUGCCUUGAAAAGUUUGGAAAUUUCAGAGUAGGGAAAUUUGAGUAGGUUUAAACUUGAAGUGUUUGAGUAUGCCUGGAACUGAAUGAGAUUAUGUUUUCUGCCACCAGAAGAAAAAGAGAGCUAAAAAUAGAAAGUUUGGAAAAAUACAGACUUUUUUGGCAUAUCCCUAUUGGUGGGAAAAUGAAUAUUUGCCACAAAAGUACAGUUUUUUGGAGUGAAUGUUUUUGCUUGUCUUCUGCAUCACCCUUAUCGCAAAGAUGCAUUUUCCAAGCCUAGAAAUCACAUAUGUGCCCUAACUAGGACAGAUAAGAAGAGAAAAGGAAAAAAAGGAAAAAAGAAAGGGUAGUCACAGCUCAGCUCUUGUCCUCUGGAGAUUUUCAUCCAGAAUGUCAGUUCAGACACCGAAUGGGAAAAUAGAAGGCACUAGAUUUCCCUUCUACCCUUGCCAAGAAAUAUAUGUUUCCCAGGCCCCUGUGCCCAGGCCUGCCAGACCAAAUUAGGAAAAGAGAACCACAUGACAAUGAGCCUCAUUUCACAGCCCCUUUUACUUCCUCAUUCCUGAAUAUGACUCAAGAGACACCCAGGAACUGGGUGAGGGAGAAAGGGUUCGGGUUAUUGAGAACUGCCUGAUGGCCAGCUAUGGGUCAAGCAAAAAGAGAUACUAUGAAUAAGGGUUUCUGCAGCCUGGAUCCAUCACCUGGACAUGUGGACCCCCCUCCCCCUCCUCUCCCCACAUCCCAGCCUAACACCGGCCUCCAAUAGAAGUGGAAACAUCCCCCUGAUUCACCCUUGACAUGGGGGUUCCAGUCCUAAGAGUUGAACUGAAGGACCAAUUGGCUAAAGGUAACAGAACUCAUCUUGAAAGAAAAAAAAAAAGCCCUCUGCAAAAGGAGACUUCCUGUUUGUCACCUGUUCAGUGCUUUUCCUCAGACCUGGUAAGCAGGGCCCUGCUGGAUUUCAGGUCUUCCAGCUGGUACCCAGGUUGCUAUGGAGAUCCAAGGAGCAGAAUCCAGAGUGAGAGGUUAUCCGAAGAGUCCCUGCUUGGGGCCUGAAAACAGCUCAGUGGGAGCUUCAGCAGAUGACACAGAUUUCUCCAGAGUUAAAAUGAAAGCCCUGGGGAGCAAGGAUUCACCUGCUUCUUUCCCCAGGCAGAGAAAAUCUAGUUGUUUAAGAGUCUGUCUCAAGAGAUAAGCAUUGGUGAGAGGAUGGAAAAAAAGGGAACCCUUGUGCACUGUUGGUGGGGAUAUAAAUAGUUUAGCCACUAUGGAAAAACUGUAGAGGUUGCUCAAAAUAUUAAAUAUAGGACCAUAUGCUGCAGCAAUACCACGUCCUGGUAUAUAGCAAAAGGAAAUAAAAACAAGGUAUCAAAAAAAAAAAAAGAGUCUGUCUCCAUUUGACUUUAGCAAAUGACCUCAGCAGUCCUUUAUUUGUAGUUUCACAAAUCACCUCAGGAAAGCUAGGAGUC